rnacentral:rRNA from 1 species
UACGUAGGGUCCGAGCGUUGUCCGGAAUUACUGGGCGUAAAGAGCUCGUAGGUGGUUUGUCGCGUUGUUCGUGAAAACUCACAACUCAAUUGUGGGCGUGCGGGCGAUACGGGCAGACUAGAGUACUGCAGGGGAGACUGGAAGUUCCUGGUGUAGCGGUGGAAUGCGCAGAUAUCAGGAGGAACACCGGUGGCGAAGGCGGGUCUCUGGGCAGUAACUGACGCUGAGGAGCGAAAGCGUGGGGAGCGAACAGG